rnacentral:rRNA from 1 species
UACGUAGGGGGCAAGCGUUGUCCGGAUUUAUUGGGCGUAAAGCGCUCGCAGGUGGUUCAUUGCGUCGUGCAUGAAAGACCCGGCUCAACUGGGGAGGGUCGUGCGAAACGGGUGAACUAGAGGCCAGUAGGGGGAUGCGGAAUUCCGGGUGUAGUGGUGGAAUGCGUAGAGAUCCGGAGGAACACCAGCGGCGAAGGCGGCAUCCUGGACUGGUCCUGACACUCAGGAGCGAAAGCGUGGGGAGCGAUCCGG